AACGAACGCUGGCGGCGUGUCUUAAGCAUGCAAGUCGUGCGGCAAGGGUAGCAAUACCCCUAGAGCGGCGGACUGGUGAGUAACGCGUGGGUGAUCUACCUUUGGGAUGGGGAUAGCCACUAGAAAUAGUGGGUAAUACCGAAUACGUUCGUCGGGCUUUGGCCUGACGAGGAAAGGCGCUUCGGCGCCACCCGAAGAUGAGCCCGCGUCCCAUUAGCUAGUUGGUGAGGUAAGAGCCCACCAAGGCGAUGAUGGGUAGGCGGCCUGAGAGGGUGUACGCCCACAUUGGGACUGAGAUACGGCCCAAACUCCUACGGGAGGCAGCAGCUAAGAAUAUUCCGCAAUGGACGAAAGUCUGACGGAGCGACGCCGCGUGGAUGACGAAGGCCGAAAGGUUGUAAAGUCCUUUUGUUGGGAAGAAUAACCAUGGGAGGUAAUGCCCGUGGGAUGACAUGAACCGACGAAUAAGCCCCGGCUAACUACGUG
rnacentral:rRNA from 1 species